GUAGCAAUACGUUUGUAAAGCGGCGAACGGGUGAGGAAUACAUGGGUAACCUACCCUCAAGUGGGGAAUAACUAGCCGAAAGGUUAGCUAAUACCGCGUACGCUCCUUGGACUUCGGUUCAGGGAGGAAAGCGAUACCGUGGGUAUCGCGCUCUUGGUUGGGCUCAUGUCCUAUCAGCUUGUUGGGGAGGUAACGGCUCACCAAGGCUUCGACGGGUAGCUGGUCUGAGAGGACGAUCAGCCACACUGGCACUGCGACACGGGCCAGACUCCUACGGGAGGCAGCAGUAAGGAAUAUUGCGCAAUGGGCGAAAGCCUGACGCAGCGACGCCGCGUGGGGGAUGAAGGUCUUCGGAUUGUAAACCCCUUUCGGGAGGGAAGAUGGAACGAGCAAUCGUUCGGACGGUACCUCCAGAAGCAGCCACGGCUAACUUCGUGCCAGCAGCCGCGGUAAUACGAAGGUGGCAAGCGUUAUUCGGAUUUACUGGGCGUACAGGGAGCGUAGGCGGUUCGGUAAGCCCUCUGUGAAAUCUCCAGGCUUAACCUGGAACAGUCGGAGGGGACUGCUGGGCUAGAGGACGGGAGAGGAGCGCGGAAUUCCCGGUGUAGCGGUGAAAUGCGUAGAGAUCGGGAGGAAGGCCGGUGGCGAAGGCGGCGCUCUGGAACGUUUCUGACGCUGAGGCUCGAAAGCGUGGGGAGCAAACAGGAUUAGAUACCCUGGUAGUCCACGCCUUAAACUAUG
rnacentral:rRNA from 1 species